GUGUUGUGAAAUAAAGGGGAAAUAUGAGAGUUUGAGAGAGAAUUAAUCUAUAUGUGUUUAUUCCAUAGAGUAGGGGAUGUAUAUACAAAUACAAUGUUAGGGUUUGCUUUGAGAAUGAUAAAACCUAAAUCUAGAAUGUUUCGGAGAGUACAAGAGUAUAUAGACAUCCACAAAUAUUUUAAAAAAAUGCAAUUUCGUUUAGUUUUGUUUUGUUUUGAUCGGUAGCCUUGAUUAAGGUGAUGGUUUCCCCUAACUUCAUCUUCCAUUCUUUCAAUCGAAAUGCCAGAAUUACAAAAUUUCCACAACCCGAGAAGGAGUUCUCACGAUAAUAACCAUUAAAAUCGUCGCACAUCCUUAAGCUAUGAUUCCUUUUUCCACCAUCGUCUUGUAGUUAAAGAUUAUAUCCUCCAUUGAAGCAGCUUCUAAGGAAAAUUAUGCGUUUAAUUUGAUGUUUGAAUCAAAUUUGGUGGAUGCACUUAAUUGGAGCAUUUUUCCCAAAAAUUAUAGGCCUAAUCCGGUAAUGGAAUCAAACUUGGUUGCAAAUAUGUUUCAAAACCCUUUAAACUUAAUGGGUUCUGACUUCAAAGAAACCCAUAAGUUCAAGAUUGAAUUAAAGAUGAUAUUGUUGAAAUAUAAAGAUACAUUUGGGGAUAUGAACACUGUUAAGCUUUGAAUUACGGGUGUAUGUGUGGUUGUAAUUGCUUGUGGCUCUAUUGCACACUGUUGUUGAUGCUAUUGCUGCACGAUGCUGCUGUUGCAACACGAUGCUGCUACAGCAUGAUGUUGUGGCUAUGCUCUUAUGCUAGUGCUGCUUUGCUCCUGCUAAUGUCUAGUCUUGAUGCUGAUACUGCUAUGCUCUUGUUGUUGCAGUUAUGCUUCCAUCGUAAUUUUAAUUAAUUUAUUUAUUUUUAAUGAAAGUAUAAAACAUUACAGGCAUUUGUAAAUGAAAUGAUCUAAGUUUGUUAUAUAUAUUCUUUGUGUAUCUAUUUAAAGGCAAAAAUGCAUCGGUUCAGAGGAAAAAACAGUCCCUUUAUUGAAAAGGGGCACUGAUUUUGAACCGGUGCCUUUGUAUUUUGUUUACACCAAUUCAAAACAGUUCCUAAUUUCUUUA